GAUGAACGCUGGCGGCGUGCCUAAUACAUGCAAGUCGAGCGAACAGACGAGGAGCUUGCUCCUCUGACGUUAGCGGCGGACGGGUGAGUAACACGUGGAUAACCUACCUAUAAGACUGGGAUAACUUCGGGAAACCGGAGCUAAUACCGGAUAAUAUAUUGAACCGCAUGGUUCAAUAGUGAAAGACGGUUUUGCUGUCACUUAUAGAUGGAUCCGCGCCGCAUUAGCUAGUUGGUAAGGUAACGGCUUACCAAGGCAACGAUGCGUAGCCGACCUGAGAGGGUGAUCGGCCACACUGGAACUGAGACACGGUCCAGACUCCUACGGGAGGCAGCAGUAGGGAAUAUUCGACAAUGGGCGAAAGCCUGACGGAGCAACGCCGCGUGAGUGAUGAAGGUCUUCGGAUCGUAAAACUCUGUUGUUAGGGAAGAACAACUGUGUAAGUAACUAUGCACGUCUUGACGGUACCUAAUCAGAAAGCAACGGCUAACUACGUG
rnacentral:rRNA from 1 species